rnacentral:rRNA from 1 species
CUAAAAAACUAGCCCAACUAUAUUUAACCUAAUAACUGAAACAAACUAAAAUAUUCCACCUCUUUAGUAAAGACGACAAAAAAAUUAAUUGGAGCAAUUUACCUGUACCGUAAGGGAAAGUUGAAAUAAAAUGAAAGUUUAAGCACUAAAUAGUAGAGCUUAUUACUCGUACCUUUUGCAUCAUGGUUUAACUAGUUUAUUCAAGCAAAAAGAAUUGAAGUUUGACCCCCCGAAACCAAGUGAGCUACUCUAGGACAGCCUAUUGGGCAAACCCGUCUCUGUUGCAAAAGAGUGGGAAGAUCUUAAAGUAGCGAUUAUAUUUCUAACGAACUUGGCGAUAGCUGGUUAUUCAGGAAAGGAAUCUUAGUUCUACCUAAAGCUACCUAACACCUUAACCUUAAAACAAAACUUAACUUUAGAGCUAGUCAAAUAUGUUACAGCCUAUUUGAAACAGGAUACAGCCUCCACCCGCGGGUAAUGAUGUUUUCUCUUAACCAAGUGGGCCUAAAAGCAGCCAUCUUUCAAAAAGCGUCAAAGCUUAAUUUUACUCUUCAACAAUCCCACAAUCUCCACAAAACCCCUCAACAGUACUGAAUGAUUUCAUAUCUUUAUGAAACCCCUUAUGUUAAAACUAGUAACAAGAAUAAACCUUCUCUUUUAUACAAGCUUAAAUCAGAACUGAUAUCCUACUGACUUAUAACAAUCCUAAAUCCAAACAACAAAUCACCAAGAAAACCCUGCUAAAACAAUUGUUAAUCUAACUCAAGAGUAUAUAAAGAAAGAUUAAAAGAAAAAGAAGGAACUCGGCAAAUUCUAAUUCCGCCUGUUUACCAAAAACAUCGCCUCCUGCUAACCUAUAGGAGGUCCAGCCUGCCCAGUGACCUAGUUUAACGGCCGCGGUAUCCUAACCGUGCGAAGGUAGCGUAAUCACCUGUUUUUUAAUUGAAGACCUGUAUGAAAGGCAUCACGAGAAUUAAACUGUCUCCUCUUUCCAAUCAGUGAAACUAAUCUCCCCGUGAAAAAGCGGGAAUAUUACCACAAGACGAGAAGACCCUUUGGAGCUUAAGACAAAAUAAUAUUUUGCACUUUUUUAAUACCUAUAUUAACCAGCAUUUACUUACAAGUCUUUGGUUGGGGCAACCGCGGAGUACAAAAUAACCUCCAAGCUGAACGGAACUUUCCUAAACAAAAAGCCACAACUUUACGUAUCAAUAAAUUGACAUAUGACCCAAAUUUUUGAUUAUCGAACCAAGUUACCCUAGGGAUAACAGCGCUAUCCACUUUAAGAGUCCAUAUCGACAAGUGGGCUUACGACCUCGAUGUUGGAUCAAGGUACCCCAGUGGUGCAGACGCUACUAAAGGUUCGUUUGUUCAACGAUUAAAACCUUACGUGAUCUGAGUUCAGACCGGAGAAAUCCAGGUCGGUUUCUAUCUGUGACAGGCUCUUUCCAGUACGAAAGGACAGAAAUAGCACGGCCAAUGAGAUUCUUACGCCGUAAUAAUUAACUUAUGACAUCAUCUUAAUAAACUCACAUUCCACUUAACUUAAAUCAAAGUA